UACGUAGGCAGCAAGCGUUGCUCGGAGUUACUGGGCGUAAAGGGUGUGCAGGCGGCCAUUUAAGUUUGGUGUGAAAUCCCCCGGCUCAACUGGGAGGGUGCGCCGAAUACUGGAGGGCUCGAGUGCGGGAGAGGAGAGUGGAAUUCCUGGUGUAGCGGUGAAAUGCGUAGAUAUCAGGAGGAACACCGGUGGUGUAGACGGCUCUCUGGACCGUAACUGACGCUGAGACACGAAAGCGUGGGUAG
rnacentral:rRNA from 1 species